rnacentral:rRNA from 1 species
ACACCGGCAGCCCAAGUGGUGGCCAUUUUUAUUGGGCAUAAAGCGUUCGUAGCCGGCCUGAUAAGUCUCUGGUGAAAUCCCGCAGCUUAACUGUGGGAAUUGCUGGAACUACUAUCAUGACUCGAGGUCGGGAGAGGCUGGAGGUACUCCCAGGGGAGGGGUGCAAUCCUGUAAUCCUGGGAGGACCACCUGUGGCGAAGGCGUCCAGCUGGAACGAACCUGACGGUGAGGGACGAAAGCCAGGGGCGCGAACCGGAUUAGAUACCCGGGUAGUCCUGGCCGUAAACGAUGUGGACUUGGUGUUGGGAUGGCUUCGAGCUGCCCCAGUGCCGAAGGGAAGCUGUUAAGUCCACCGCCUGGGAAGUACGGCCGCAAGGCUGAAACUUAAAGGAAUUGGCGGGG